UACGUAGGGUGCGAGCGUUAAUCGGAAUUACUGGGCGUAAAGCGUGCGCAGGCGGUUUUGUAAGUCAGGUGUGAAAUCCCCGGGCUUAACCUGGGAAUGGCAUUUGAGACUGCAAGGCUGGAGUGCGGCAGAGGAGACUGGAAUUCCUGGUGUAGCAGUGAAAUGCGUAGAUAUCAGGAGGAAUACCGAUGGCGAAGGCAGGUCUCUGGGCUGACACUGACGCUCAUGCACGAAAGCGUGGGGAGCAAACAGG
rnacentral:rRNA from 1 species